rnacentral:RNase_P_RNA from 1 species
GGGACGGACAGUCGCGGGCACAGUGCUGAAAGGCCGUGCAUGAGGAAAGUCCGGGCUCCACAGGGCAAGGAUAACGGGUAACGCCCGCCCAGAGCGAUCUGAGGAAAAGUGCAACAGAAAGAAACCACCCUGCUUUUGCAGGGAACGGGUGGAAAGGCGAGGUAAAAGCUCACCCAAUGGCUCGAGAGUGUCCAUUGCUGUAAACUCUAUCCGGAGCAACACCGCAGAGGAAGCGGGAUUCGUCCCAGGCCUGCCCGGCUGCUUCCGAGAAGGUGGCUUGACCGCACCGGCAACGAUGCGGCUAGAUAGAUGACUGUCGAUUACAGAACCCGGCUUACAGACCCGAUC